AUUGAACGCUGGCGGCAGGCCUAACACAUGCAAGUCGAGCGGCAGCACGGGUACUUGUACCUGGUGGCGAGCGGCGGACGGGUGAGUAAUGCCUAGGAAUCUGCCUGGUAGUGGGGGGAUAACGUUCGGAAACGGACGCUAAUACCGCAUACGUCCUACGGGAGAAAGCAGGGGACCUUCGGGCCUUGCGCUAUCAGAUGAGCCUAGGUCGGAUUAGCUAGUUGGUGGGGUAANGGCUCACCAAGGCGACGAUCCGUAACUGGUCUGAGAGGAUGAUCAGUCACACUGGAACUGAGACACGGUCCAGACUCCUACGGGAGGCAGCAGUGGGGAAUAUUGGACAAUGGGCGAAAGCCUGAUCCAGCCAUGCCGCGUGUGUGAAGAAGGUCUUCGGAUUGUAAAGCACUUUAAGUUGGGAGGAAGGGCAGUUACCU
rnacentral:rRNA from 1 species